AGCCGGGCAUUGAGCACAAAGCAAACUAUUCUUUUGCUUGUUACUAAAGAACACCGUGUGCUCAAUGCAUUCACCGGCAUGUGCCUAUUUUUGGAGGAGUUUCUCUUAACUGAGAAAC